AUCCCGGUAGCACAAUGGAUAGCGCGUUGAACAUCUAAUUCCAGGUUCGUAGGUUCGAAUCCCACCUGGGAUG